rnacentral:rRNA from 1 species
AGAGUUUGAUCAUGGCUCAGAUUGAACGCUGGCGGCAUGCCUUACACAUGCAAGUCGAACGGCAGCACGGACUUCGGUCUGGUGGCGAGUGGCGAACGGGUGAGUAAUACAUCGGAACGUACCCUGUUGUGGGGGAUAACUAGUCGAAAGAUUAGCUAAUACCGCAUACGACCUGAGGGUGAAAGUGGGGGACCGUAAGGCCUCACGCAGCAGGAGCGGCCGAUGUCUGAUUAGCUAGUUGGUGGGGUAAAGGCCCACCAAGGCGACGAUCAGUAGCUGGUCUGAGAGGACGAUCAGCCACACUGGGACUGAGACACGGCCCAGACUCCUACGGGAGGCAGCAGUGGGGAAUUUUGGACAAUGGGGGCAACCCUGAUCCAGCAAUGCCGCGUGUGUGAAGAAGGCCUUCGGGUUGUAAAGCACUUUUGUCCGGAAAGAAAUCGCUUCGGUUAAUACCUGGGGUGGAUGACGGUACCGGAAGAAUAAGCACCGGCUAACUACGUGCCAGCAGCCGCGGUAAUACGUAGGGUGCGAGCGUUAAUCGGAAUUACUGGGCGUAAAGCGUGCGCAGGCGGUUUUGUAAGACAGGCGUGAAAUCCCCGAGCUCAACUUGGGAAUUGCGCUUGUGACUGCAAGGCUAGAGUAUGUCAGAGGGGGGUAGAAUUCCACGUGUAGCAGUGAAAUGCGU